rnacentral:rRNA from 1 species
UGAGAUGGCCUCUCGCCCUAUUCAGUGUAACAGCUGUGGUAGUGGGUUUGGUCGCUCGCAUUUAAAUUGGAAGGGUAAUGGUGGACCGCACUUCUCCCUUAGUAGGACGUUGCGACCUGUCAAAUAAUAUCCUAAGUAUUUGGCUAAUUUGUCUGUUUUUAGGCAGUACUGAAAGGUAUUUCCUUUAACAGUUUUAGCCGUUUACAUACUGGAUAUAAUUGACAGUAACGAAUCAUGGUGUUGAGCCACUUACUUUGUAAGUGUCCUUUAUGGCUGUUUGCAAGUGGGUUGGUUAAUUAGUUUUAGUCGGAUUUUGGUCCGUCUAACUAUUCCGCCUACUGUUGGUAAACUGUUCCUUGGACAGUGCUUAUAACACCGGUCGGCAGCGAUUCAGGUUCAGGCUCUUAUCCGACCCGUCUUGAAACACGGACCAAGGAGUUUAGCGUGUACGCAAGUCAUUGGGUGUAUAAAACCCAAAGGCGCAAUG